rnacentral:rRNA from 1 species
GACGUAGGGGGCCAGCGUUGCUCGGAAUUACUGGGCGUAAAGGGUCCGUAGGCGGUGUGGCAAGUCGGGAGUGAAAUCUCUGGGCUUAACCCAGAGACUACUUCCGAAACUGCCGUGCUGGAGUGUGGGAGAGGCGCGUGGAACUGCAGGUGUAGCGGUGAAAUGCGUAGAUAUCUGCAGGAACACCCGUGGCGAAAGCGGCGCGCUGGACCACAACUGACGCUGAGGAACGAAAGCUAGGGGAGCAAACAGG